AUUGAACGCUGGCGGCAGGCCUAACACAUGCAAGUCGGGCGGAGCGGCGGACGGGUGAGUAAUGUAUGGGGAUCUGCCUGAUGGCGGGGGAUAACUAUUGGAAACGAUAGCUAAUACCGCAUACUAGUAGAUGGACCUGCGUUGUAUUAGCUAGUAGGUAGGGUAAUGGCCUACAUAGGCAACGACUCAUAGCCGACCUGAGAGGGUGAUCGGCCACACUGGGACUGAGACACGGCCCAGACUCCUACGGGAGGCAGCAGUAGGGAAUCUUCGGCAAUGGGCGCAACCCUGAUCCAGCCAUGCCGCGUGUGUGAAGAAGGUCUUCGGAUUGUAAAGCACUUUAAGUUGGGAGGCGUUACCAACAGAAUAAGCACCGGCUAACUUCGUGCCAGCAGCCGCGGUAAUUC
rnacentral:rRNA from 1 species